GCGGGGCCUGCUUUCCAGUUGGCAAGCUGACUUCGUUAAUUGCGCAUUCAGUCUCUACUUAGGGUAAUUGAAACGAAGCGGGGCCGGCUCUAACAAUUAGGGUCUGCGACUAGGCCAUUAACCCUUUCCGCCCCCGCCCCCCGCCGCGCCUCGGCACCCCUUCGAGGUGGAGGGGGGGUCACCGGGCGCCCCCGCCAGGGCCCCAUCUGGGGCGGGGGCGAGGAGCCCCACGCGAGACGCGGAGUGCGGCAGCGGGUGCUGGGCGCGCGCCCCAGCGCGCGCAGGGUUAACGCGGCGCCGGAGUCCUCCUGCAGCCCGGCUGGGGCCGAGGGGUAUGGAGAGCCGCGCAGGGUGUGUGGGGGUUGUUGAGGCCUGGCCGCCCCUCGGCAACAGAUGUUUCAGCCGUGUAAGACAAAGGCAGAGCGCCUGCUGCUGCCGGAGAAAAUCCGCAGGACUCCCUCAGGGGCAGCCGCCCUCGGAAGUCAGCCGAGUGAAGCAGCUGUUCCUUGCACACUCCACUUGACCAAAGAUGAUGAUAAAUGAGACCGGGGCUGCGGCGGGGACGCGGCGGCGGCGGCGGCAGCGAGGGGCGCGCAAGGCGGGGCUACGGCCCGCAGCCCCCUCCCCGCGCCUCGGGAAGGGCGAGCACGCGAAGGACAAGAGGCCGACAGCAAAAUCUAAGGCCCGCGCUGUUCUCCUGGUGCCCUGAGCAGCUCCGACACCCAGCGGUGUGGAGGAACCCGGCGGAGAAAUGCGCCCGGUGCGCCGGCCCCAGGCCGAGACCUCUUCCUCCAGGCCGCGCCGCAGCCCCGCCCAUUCCCCUUCCUCCUCACUCCUUCCCUUUCUCUCCCCCGCCCUCUCCACCCCUUCCCCUAAUGACCGGGUCCCCACUGCGUCCUCGUCGCCCCCCCCCUCCCGCCCCCGUGGCUCAAACCUAUUAACGCUCGUAAAUAAUGAAUAAUGGAGCGCUUCCCUCCAGCCGCGCAAGGCUGCGGGCGGGCGGGGGGGGGCCUGCCAGCUGCGCCAGGUCCUGGGGAGGGGGCACCCACCGACCGGGUGCAGUGGGGGCUAGGGCGCGCGGCCCCACACACGUGCAACCGCGGCGCGCAGGCGGGCACCCCGCCCGGCGGAGGAGGGGGAAUCCCGCUCUGCCCUCCCCAACGCCACCUCCCCUGGAGUCCUCUGGCACCGAACGAGGCGAGAGAGCGCGCGCGAGCUUCCCAGCCGGAGACGGUUAUUUUUAACCUGCCCCCCUUUCUAUAUCUGCCUCUCGGGUUUGCGCGUCCACCCGCCCGCUCCACCAGCCGAGGACGCGGGCUCCUCACCUCGCUCGGCGGCUCCGGACUCUGAGCACCUCCCCCGGCCCGCGGCCCCCGCCCCUGCGCGAGCAUCGCGCGGCUAAAUCUCAGCCUGGAAAGGACCGAUUAGGAGCCGCGUGCCUUUCUGCGAAAUAUUGGAACCGGGUGGGAUGGGGGCGGGGAGCCCGGCGCUGUCGUCCCCUCGCCUCCCUCUCUCCCUCCCACCCCGCGCGAAGAGUGGCUGCGAGAGGCGGCUCUUGCUCUCCCCCCGCAAAAAGGGGGCGGCCGGCCCGGGCCCUGGAGCCCCACGUUGGUUUUCAGUCUUCCCUCCUCAUUGCCCACCCACCCUUCUUCAGUCAUUUAGGAAGCUGGGGCUUCUAACACGCGGACCCUCCGACAUUGGUGGCGCCAAGUGGGGCGCUACCCGCCCCCAAUUUCCAGUUGCCUCCCUAAGCCACUCCAAACAAACACACCAUUUAAACAGCAGUGGGCUGGCCGAACCAACAACUUUGAGGCAGACCCACCCGUGCCUGCGACCGCGCUAGGGGGCUGGGAAAGUGCCAGGAGCGCGCAGUGGGGACUCCCCGAAGGCAGUUUAGUGCCGCUGUCCUCUGUUUUCAGGCUCCCCCUCCCAAUACACUAACGCAGAACCCUCCCUCCCAGCCCCUUCCCCUGCGGCCCAGCGCCCCAGGCCAGCAGCUCCGACUACCCUCCGCCCCCAGCCAGGGAAUGAGGCCACAGGAAGUUCAAGUCUGCUCCCAUUACCCUGCUCUCCAAAAGGCCACCCAUCCAAACCCCAGCCUGUCUUUCCCCACGGAGGUGGGGAGCAGCAGAGGAGCUGGCUGAGCUCAGAGGCCCCCCUGGGGCUUUGACUGGAUCCCUCCCUCACUUGACAUUUUCCACUGUUUGGUGCCCAAUCCUGGAGACCCACAGCAUAGGGCCCUGGAGCCCCUCCCUCCUUAAGACUCCCUGCUGCAGCAUGGAGAAGGGAAGACUGGAGGAAGUGGUGGGCCAAGAAGAAAGGAGCAGGGCAUUCAAGCCACCAGGAGCUGCCUAGUUUGGUGACCAGGAAGAACACCGUCUGUUUGGGAACCUGAGAUGUUCUCUCUGUGGCUUAGCGGGGCUGGAGGAGAUAGGCCUCAAGGGCUGGGCCCCUACCACAAGAGGGCAGCCUCUGGUGAGGGGGUGGAGAUUCCUGCAGAGGUAAGAAGCCUGGCAGGUUCUGAGCUCCUGGGAGGGGAAGGGGUGAGGAUGCCUGAGGAAUACAGCAGCGAAUCCAGGAGGCAAGGCUGGCCCAGAAGGGGAGAGACAGGGACAGGGCCUCCUAAGCAAACGCAGAGCCCAGCACUACAGAGUGGGGACUCUCAAGGGGCUUCUCCCAGCCAGCUAGAUCUGGAGUUGGGCUUCCCUCAGAUCUGGAGGUCUGCUGGAGCCGCUUAACUGCAGCACCCUCAAAGGCUGAUGCUCUCUGGCCCCGAACCCUCAAAUUACCCUUCUGGGAGGUGACAUCACCCGUCAUUUCACAGACAUGGACUGAGCUCCAGAGAGAGGAAGGGGUCCUUCCUGGUCCCCCUGUCCUGGGCCCUUCGGGUGGGAUCAAUCUGGGCAUCAGGGAGAGGCCUGUGGGGCUAUUGUGAGUACAGGCACCCCGGGGUGCAAGACAUGGGCAAGGAGGUCCUGGUUUCCUCUGAAAAUUUCAGAAAACUGGUUUUCUUGGGAGAAGAAAAGGGUGGGUGGCUGGACGAGGUGGUUCACGCCUGUAAUCCUAGCACUUUGGGAAGCUGAGAGGGGUGGAUCAUUUGAGGUCAGGAGUUUGAGACCAGCCUGGCCAACAUGGUGAAACCCCGUCUGUAGUAAAAAUACAAAAGUUAGCCGGAUGUGGUAGUGCAAGCCUGUAAUUCCAGCUACCCAUGAGGCUGAGGCAGGAGAGUUGCUUAAACCUGGGAGGCGGAGGUUGCAGUGAGCUGAGGUUGCACCACUGCACUCCAGCCUGGGGACAAGAGUGAAACUCUGUCUCAAAAAAAAAAAAAAAAGAAAGAAAAGGGUGAAGAGGGCACUAGAGAGAAGUCCCAUGGCCUACCAUCACUGAUUCCCUGCCACCCACUUGGCCAGGCUACCUAUGAAGGGUUUCCAUGUGGGACUUUGCCUCCUGGGGCUGCAGAAUGAUGGUAAUGAGGCCUAAGUCCGCAUGGCUCUUGUUCAGCUGUAGACCAAAUAAACCCCGUGUGGCCAUGUGCCACACUCUUCAA